rnacentral:rRNA from 1 species
UACAGAGGGUGCGAGCGUUGUCCGGAAUCACUGGGCGUAAAGGGCGCGUAGGCGGCCUGGUAAGCGUGCGGUGAAAGCCCGGGGCUCAACCCCGGGUCGGCCGUGCGAGCUGCGAGGCUGGAGCACUGUAGAGGCAGGUGGAAUUCCGGGUGUAGCGGUGGAAUGCGUAGAGAUCCGGAAGAACACCGGUGGCGAAGGCGGCCUGCUGGGCAGUGGCUGACGCUGAGGCGCGAAAGCUAGGGGAGCGAACAGG